rnacentral:rRNA from 1 species
CCCCUAGAUGUUCUGGGCCGCACGCGCGCUACACUGAACAGUUCAACAAGUCUUAACCUUGGCCGAUAGGUCUGGGUAAUCUUUGAACGCUGUUCGUGAUUGGGAUAGACCUUUGCAAUUAUGGGUCUUCAACGAGGAAUUCCUAGUAAACGCAAGUCAUCAGCUUGCAUUGAUUACGCCCCUGCCCUUUGUACACACCGCCCGUCGCACCUACCGAUUGAAUGGUCCGGUGAAAUCUCGGGACGGCGGCUUGGUCGCUUGCGUCCGACUGCUGAAACUUGAUUAAACCAUAUCAUUUAGAGGAAGGUGAANUCGUANCA